rnacentral:rRNA from 1 species
GACAGAGGGUGCAAACGUUGCUCGGAAUUACUGGGCGUAAAGCGCGUGUAGGCGGCCAUCUAAGUCGGGCGUGAAAUCCCACGGCUCAACCGUGGAAGUGCACUCGAAACUGGAUGGCUAGAGUCCUGGAGAGGAAGGUGGAAUGCUUGGUGUAGAGGUGAAAUUCGUAGAUAUCAAGCGGAACACCGGUGGCGAAGGCGGCCUUCUGGACAGUGACUGACGCUGAGACGCGAAAGCGUGGGGAGCAAACAGG